GUGUUGCCUUAGUGGUGAUGGUUCUCGAGUAGCAACUGGAUCUUAUAGCAAUCUUUUUCGUGUGUUCGGUUGUGCUCCGGGAAGCGCAGAAGCGACUACAUUAGAAGCGAGCAAAAACCCCAGGAGACAAGUCCAGACCCCUUCGAGGCCUUCCAGGUCCUUGAGCAGCAGUAUAACCCGUGUUGUCAGGAGAGGAUCAGAAAGUCCUGGGGCUGAUGCCAAUGGAAACUCAUUUGAUUUCACAACCAAACUGCUCCACCUUACAUGGCAUCCAACUGAAAAUUCAA
rnacentral:misc_RNA from 1 species